GGAAAACUUGACUAUCUUUGUCCUCAUACCAAUUACAACAUCAGUCAAUCUGUAGAUGUCUUUCUGUUCUGAUUCAUAAUAGAUAGGCGAAAGAUACCAGUGAGACAUUCAAACUCAUAAGUCGCAAAUAAACUAACCAUGUCAUGUCUGAAAAAGAAUGAAAUUAUAAGUAAAAGACCAACAGACAAACAAAAGUACACAAAACAC
rnacentral:lncRNA from 1 species